rnacentral:rRNA from 1 species
GAUGAACGCUAGCGGCAGGCCUAAUACAUGCAAGUCGAACGGGAUCUGAGGGUAGCUUGCUACCCGAUUUGAGAGUGGCGCACGGGUGCGUAACGCGUGAGCAACCUACCCAUAUCAGGGGGAUAGCCCGAAGAAAUUCGGAUUAACACCGCAUAAUAAUACGCUAACACAUGUUGAUGUAUUUAAAUAUUUAUAGGAUAUGGAUGGGCUCGCGUGGCAUUAGAUAGUUGGUAAGGUAACGGCUUACAAAGGCGACGAUGUCUAGGGGCUCUGAGAGGAGAAUCCCCCACAAUGGUACUGAGACACGGACCAGACUCCUACGGGAGGCAGCAGUAAGGAAUAUUGGUCAAUGGGCGCAAGCCUGAACCAGCCAUGCCGCGUGCAGGAUGACUGCCCUAUGGGUUGUAAACUGCUUUUGUUAGGGAAUAAACCUUCUUACGUGUAAGGAGCUGAAUGUACCUAAAGAAUAAGGAUCGGCUAACUCCGUGCCAGCCGCCGCGGUAA